rnacentral:lncRNA from 1 species
GCUCUAUGAGUAACACCUCAGCAGUUGUCACUCCACAGUACCAGUUACUGCCAUUCCUGGGGUUAAACCUGCCCAGGCUCCCAGCCUGUCUUUGCUUGCACUGGAAAGGGGGAUGGAGAAUGAAGAGUUACCAGCCUGGUUUCUUUUUUACUGCAGCCUUCUGGGAGCUGUAGUUUGCAAGCCAUGAGACUGCUGGGAACUGUAGUGUGGUUUCGCUUGCCCUGCCUGCUUAAUGGCUGCUUGCUGGAAGAGCAUGAAAUAAAGAUCUGCCAGAUGGACUUUUAUUUCUGCAAUUCCAGCCAACAUUCACAAAGUCUGGCUCAAGAUGAAGAAAGAGGAGAACCCAAAGGGAGAUCAGUGGAGCCACUAGAGAGAAUUGGUGUGUGCACUGACACAUAG